UCUCAAGUCUGGAACUCCCUCCCUCUCCAUGUCAGAACCGGACAAGCCAUACACAUAUUCAAGUCCACACUAAAUACACACCUCUUCACACAGGCUUACCCAGAUUAUCUGCUGCUUUAGCUUUUAACCUCUGUCUAGUUCACUUCCCUGGUUAAUCUGUCAUCGUGUUUAGUGUUCUCCAUGGUUAGUCUGUCUUUACGUUUAGUGUACUUUUAUAUACUUAAUUCUUUUAUGAUGUGAUAUUAAUGCUUUUUAUCCUGCUGAUUCUCGUGUGUAUGUAAAGUGACUUUGGGUGUUGUGAAAAGUGCUUAAAAUAACAUUUAUUUUUAUUAUUAUUAUUAUAAUGCUCAUUGACUGAACAUUCCAAAUUACUGUGGCAAUUAUGCAUCACAAUGCUACCAUGGCAAUUAUGCGUCACAAUAUGAAUUAUAUUUCUAUUGUGUAGGGCAUUCCAGUAACUUUUGCAACCAAAUCAUUGUAUUGCACCCAGUUGCAUAGAGACUUUUGGUCACACAAGCUGACACCUGUGGAUACAAAAUUUAGUAUCUUAAUUAUUUUACAUACCCCCCCCCCAAAAAAAAAGAGGAGAGGGGAAUUCCACAUUCACAUAUAUUUUCUAGUUUUUAUUUAGACAGAUUCAAUUACAAGGGGAUACAGAGGUAACAAGGGGAAAAGCUGGAAGGGUCAACUCGGGGAUUAAACCCGGGUCUCUGACGGGGAGUCGCAUAUAAUGUGUCACACGAAGAGUGACAUUUUUUCGUGCGCAAUUGGCAACAUUUUAAAUAAACGGGAAGUUGCAAUAGCUUAUUAGCAGCAUGAAUUUCUGCUUUGUAGGUGGGGUUAUUGAGUGAACAAUUCUGUGAUGGUUGCAGUCCACAAAGAUAAAAUUGCAUUGAAUCAAAUCUAUUGAUUUACCGCCUGUAGGGCGGGGGUGCAACUAGUGUAUUGUAUAUAGCUAUCAAAGAUGACGAUAACAAUUUCAAAUGUCGGUCAUGAUGCACAAUCUUUCCUUUACUUCCAGGGUCUUCAUUCGUUUGUGUAGUAGUGAUAAACUUUGCCAAAAUCUGAGACAUUUCUGCUUUUCUCCUGUGCCAUUUGGUUAUUUGCUUGCUGUAAAUAAUAUUUAGCUUUGAGAGACCUUUUGGUUGAAGGUUGCAUGUAUGAAAUAAGCAGAAGGCACCAAAAAAAAGGCCAUGCAAAUCUAUACCACUUUUCUCCUGUAAGUGCCUUUUACAUAGGGUUAAGUGACUGGCAUGGAGGGCCUUUUCAAAAUGCAGUCCAAGAAGGUUUACAUCACCUAAGCUAGUCUUGUCAAAUGGACAGACACAAAAAUGGAAGCACACUGCAUUUAGUUAAGAACACACAUAUCUUCCUCGGGGGAGAGCAUGCAUGCCAAAAUUGAUCAAUGACUCAUUUUGUGUUCAAUAUGUCCUUGUGUUCAUAGUUUCUUGUGUAUAUCCUUUCUCACCAAACGUGUAGACUAAGUGAUUGCUAUUUAUUGUACAAGUUUGAUAAGUGACAAAUUCCCGAGAACUAUAUAAGAUUGUGUGUGUAUAUGUACUGUAUGUGCAUGUAAUAUGUAGAGUAGAGUGUUUUUAAUGGAACGUUUUUUGAUAAUAUCCAGAAUGUUGCUGGCACACAUGAAGUAUAUCAAAUUCUGUUGCCAAAUGUACACACAUUUUAGAUGAAUUUCGCUCUACUCUUAAAAUUCACUUCCGGUCUUAAAUGUUUACAAGUACAACAUACUGGCCAAUAUGCUCUCACUGUAGAUUGCAUCACAAUUGCCUAUGACACUUAACAACUGUGAGUCAUAUUUCUUACAGAUGUAAAUGAAGAAAUGCAUAGCUAAAGUACAAUACAGUCACAAAGAGUUGGUGCGGUAGAUCUAUAAAUGGAUAUAAUAUCAUUGAGAGAUUGUAAAAAUAGACAAAGUUAUUAAAAAUAAAAAUGCGACAAUGCGAGGGUAAAACAACAUUAUUUUGUUGCAGUACAUUUUUUUUCUCUCUCUGUUAUAAAUGGGGAGGAAUUUGUUCCGUUUAUAUUGACAGUAGACUUUUAUGAAUUUCUUGUUUUUGCUAUUUUCAAAGUUGUUCUGAAUAAUGUUGACUUAAAUGUAUAGUAUGGCUACCCUGACUCUGGAUGAAAAAUUGUAUAGCUCUAUUCUAAUGGAUUCCCAGGUCUAUUCUUGCCAAAUUAUGUAAUUUUUUCGUACAAGCUGUCAGUAACUUUUUCCAAUGCAGUAAGACAAUGUGAUGUCGUGUUUGGUUGGUUACAAGAGGCAAAAGAAAUGUUCAGAAUCUCCCUACCUACUACUAGGCCGGAUAUGACAGCAUCUUGAUUUUAGUGCAAUUGUGGAUUUGUUUAGUUUGAUCCCAGACCUUGAAUUGAGCAAAAUUACAAAAAUAGAUUCGUUCAAAAUGUAGACCUCAUUCAAGUAUUUUUAAGUUGUGAUAUCACAAUAUUACAAAAUCAAAAAACAAACGUACCUGUACACAAGUCUGAAUAAUGUCCUGCAAAUCUUACUUGUGGUUGUGAAUCAAUAGAUGUCUGUUGGGGUCACCUAAUUUCCAUCCAAUACCCUGAUUGCACAAAAACACAUUAUUGUCACUCUUGUGUAUAAAGAGCAGCUGUAUAUUAAAAACAUCUUUGGGAGUGGAAGAGGACACAACACUUUGUACAUUAUUCUGUGUGAAAAAAAAACUGUCAGUUGUUUGUAAACUGUAAAUCGAUUCUGUACAUGAGAUAAGAUAGAAAUAAACUUGUUUGCAC
rnacentral:lncRNA from 1 species